UACGGAGGAUCCAAGCGUUAUCCGGAUUUAUUGGGUUUAAAGGGUGCGUAGGCGGCCUGUUAAGUCAGAGGUGAAAGACGGUAGCUCAACUAUCGCAGUGCCUUUGAUACUGACGGGCUUGAAUAAACUAGAGGUAGGCGGAAUGAGACAAGUAGCGGUGAAAUGCAUAGAUAUGUCUCAGAACACCGAUUGCGAAGGCAGCUUACUAUGGUUUUUAUUGACGCUGAGGCACGAAAGCGUGGGGAUCAAACAGG
rnacentral:rRNA from 1 species